UAAAUUAAGUGCUUUAAAAAGAAACUGCAUUUCAUAGAAGGAUAUGUACAUGAAUCUUUCAACAGUGCAUUUGUCCAGCUUUCUGUCCAAAUGGGAACUGUGGGGACUCUGGGACAAGCUGGUCUAAAGUGGUUAACAGGAAUGAGGACAUCUACUAGUCUUGAUGGGGGAAUCCAGGUGAAGAAAGGGAAAGAGUUCAAAGUUUUCUUGAACACUCCAGAAGAAUCUAUGGACAUAAUUAAUUUCAGCUCUAAACUGUACUUCAGAGUGGUGAAUGAUACAGAAGAUAUAGAUGUCUUCCAAGACCACACAGAAACCAGGUCUUGCACUAGGGAGGACGGUGAGUUCAGCUAUUAUGUUUGUCUUAGAAAUGCAUUCUGAAAUAUCCGCGACAGAUCAUUUUUAUUCAGUAGUUUCUUUUUUCACAUGUUAUUUCUAAAAGGUCUACAAUGCAAUGUUAAUUUUCAUGUUUUCUUUGUUUGCUGUUCUAAUUAAAUGUUCAACUGUUGUCUUCCCACCAGUAUCUGAGAUUAUUGGCUGGCAGCUGUGUUCUGAAAUGUCCUAUCCUGACCCAGACAGUGGUUUGGUUUUCCCCCUUAGUGUACCUUUGAGAGUGGCUGUGACAUUAGCUAAGCAAGACAGAGGCCUGCAGCAGUACGUGGUGGAAGCUGCCUAUAACUACAUUGCUCAGGAUAAUUCAUGGAUCCCAAGUGAAGCUGUCUUUCACUUCUUCAUUGGGACUCCAAAGUCAGCAUUGAAAAGAGAUGUUGGUGUUGACCUAAGUUUUAGUGUCCCACAGAAGAAAUUCAGAAUCCAAUUUAUACAACCUAAGAAAAAAAUUGAAAUUGAUGGUAGGUUUUUCAACUAAGAGCCUGAUUGUCAGCUAAUAUCAGUUAGGAGAACUUUGUUACAAUU
rnacentral:lncRNA from 13 species